rnacentral:rRNA from 1 species
GACGAACGCUGGCGGCGUGCUAAACACAUGCAAGUCGAACGGAAAGGCCCUGCUUUUGUGGGGUGCUCGAGUGGCGAACGGGUGAGUAACACGUGAGUAACCUGCCCUUGACUUUGGGAUAACUUCAGGAAACUGGGGCUAAUACCGGAUAGGAGCUCCUGCUGCAUGGUGGGGGUUGGAAAGUUUCGGCGGUUGGGGAUGGACUCGCGGCUUAUCAGCUUGUUGGUGGGGUAGUGGCUUACCAAGGCUUUGACGGGUAGCCGGCCUGAGAGGGUGACCGGCCACAUUGGGACUGAGAUACGGCCCAGACUCCUACGGGAGGCAGCAGUGGGGAAUAUUGAACAAUGGGCGGAAGCCUGAUGCAGCAACGCCGCGUGCGGGAUGACGGCCUUCGGGUUGUAAACCGCUUUCGCCUGUGACGAAGCGUGAGUGACGGUAAUGGGUAAAGAAGCACCGGCUAACUACGUG